rnacentral:rRNA from 1 species
GUGCCAGCAGCCGCGGUAAUACGUAGGUGGCAAGCGUUAUCCGGAAUUAUUGGGCGUAAGGCGCGCGUAGGCGGUUUUUUAAGUCUGAUGUGAAAGCCCACGGCUCAACCGUGGGGGGUCAUUGGAAACUGGAAAACUUGAGUGCAGAAGAGGAAAGUGGAAUUCCAUGUGUAGCGGUGAAAUGCGCAGAGAUAUAGAGGAACACCAGUGGCGAAGGCGACUUUCNUGGUCUGUAACUGACGCUGAUGUGCGAAAGCGUGGGGAUCAAACAGGAUUAG